GACGAACGCUGGCGGCGUGCUUAACACAUGCAAGUCGAACGGAAAGGCCCUGCUUUUGUGGGGUUCUCGAGUGGCGAACGGGUGAGUAACACGUGAGUAACCUGCCCUUGACUUUGGGAUAACUUCAGGAAACUGGGGCUAAUACCGGAUAGGAGCUCCUGCUGCAUGGUGGGGGUUGGAAAGUUUCGGCGGUUGGGGAUGGACUCGCGGCUUAUCAGCUUGUUGGUGGGGUAGUGGCUUACCAAGGGUUUGACGGGUAGCCGGCCUGGGAGGGUGACCGGCCACAUUGGGACUGAGAGACGGCCCAGACUGCUACGGGAGGCAGCAGUGGGGAAUAUUGCACAAUGAGCGGAAGCCUGAUGCAGCAACGCCGCGUGCGGGAUGACGGCCUUCGGGUUGUAAACCGCUUUCGCCUGUGACGAAGCGUGAGUGACGGUAAUGGGUAAAGAAGCACCGGCUAACUACGUG
rnacentral:rRNA from 1 species